UGGGGAAUAUUGGACAAUGGGCGCAAGCCUGAUCCAGCCAUACCGCGUGGGUGAAGAAGGCCUUCGGGUUGUAAAGCCCUUUUGUUGGGAAAGAAAUCCAGCUGGUUAAUACCCGGUUGGGAUGACGGUACCCAAAGAAUAAGCACCGGCUAACUUCGUGCCAGCAGCCGCGGUAAUACGAAGGGUGCAAGCGUUACUCGGAAUUACUGGGCGUAAAGCGUGCGUAGGUGGUCGUUUAAGUCCGUUGUGAAAGCCCUGGGCUCAACCUGGGAACUGCAGUGGAUACUGGACGACUAGAGUGUGGUAGAGGGUAGCGGAAUUCCUGGUGUAGCAGUGAAAUGCGUAGAGAUCAGGAGGAACAUCCAUGGCGAAGGCAGCUACCUGGACCAACACUGACACUGAGGCACGAAAGCGUGGGGAGCAGACAGGAUUAGAUACCCUGGUAGUCCACGCCCUAAACGAUGCGAACUGGAUGUUGGGUGCAAUUUGGCACGCAGUAUCGAAGCUNACGCGUUAAGUUCGCCGCCUGGGGAGUACGGUCGCAAGAC
rnacentral:rRNA from 1 species